GGGCCGCUAGCUCAACUGGCAGAGCAGGACCCUCUUAAGGUCAAGGUUGAAGGUUCGAUUCCUUCGCGGCUCACUA
rnacentral:tRNA from 1 species